UACGUAGGGUGCAAGCGUUGUCCGGAAUCAUUGGGCGUAAAGCGCGUGUAGGCGGCUUGUUAAGUCCGCUCUGAAAGCCCGGGGCUCAACCCCGGGAGGCGGGUGGAUACUGGCAAGCUUGAGUCCGGAAGAGGCGAGUGGAAUUCCUGGUGUAGCGGUGAAAUGCGCAGAUAUCAGGAAGAACACCUAUGGCGAAGGCAGCUCUCUGGGACGGUACUGACGCUGAGACGCGAAAGCGUGGGGAGCGAACAGG
rnacentral:rRNA from 1 species